GAUGAACGCUAGCUACAGGCUUAACACAUGCAAGUCGAGGGGCAGCAUGUCGGUUGCUUGCAACCGAUGAUGGCGACCGGCGCACGGGUGAGUAACGCGUAUCCAACCUACCCUUGUCCAUCGGAUAACCCGUCGAAAGGCGGCCUAACACGAUAUGCGGUUCACAGCAGGCAUCUAACGUGAACGAAAUGUGAAGGAGAAGGAUGGGGAUGCGUCUGAUUAGCUUGUUGGCGGGGUAACGGCCCACCAAGGCGACGAUCAGUAGGGGUUCUGAGAGGAAGGUCCCCCACAUUGGAACUGAGACACGGUCCAAACUCCAACGGGAGGCAGCAGUGAGGAAUAUUGGUCAAUGGACGGGAGUCUGAACCAGCCAAGUAGCGUGCAGGAUGACGGCCCUAUGGGUUGUAAACUGCUUUUAUAGGGGGAUAAAGUGUGCCACGUGUGGCAUAUUGCAGGUACCCUAUGAAUAAGGACCGGCUAAUUCCGUGCCAGCAGCCGCGGUAAUACGGAAGGUCCGGGCGUUAUCCGGAUUUAUUGGGUUUAAAGGGAGCGUAGGCCGUCUUAUAAGCGUGUUGUGAAAUGUCGGGGCUCAACCUGGGCAUUGCAGCGCGAACUGUGAGACUUGAGUGCGCAGGAAGUAGGCGGAAUUCGUCGUGUAGCGGUGAAAUGCUUAGAUAUGACGAAGAACUCCGAUUGCGAAGGCAGCCUGCUGUAGCGCAACUGACGCUGAAGCUCGAAAGCGUGGGUAUCGAACAGG
rnacentral:rRNA from 1 species